CAAUACCGGGUGGCGACCGGCGCACGGGUGAGUAACACGUAUCCAACCUGCCGAUAACUCGGGGAUAGCCUUUCGAAAGAAAGAUUAAUACCCGAUGGUAUAAUCAGACCGCAUGGUUUGAUUAUUAAAGAAUUUCGGUUAUCGAUGGGGAUGCGUUCCAUUAGGCAGUUGGUGAGGUAACGGCUCACCAAACCUUCGAUGGAUAGGGGUUCUGAGAGGAAGGUCCCCCACAUUGGAACUGAGACACGGUCCAA
rnacentral:rRNA from 1 species